rnacentral:rRNA from 1 species
GGGUUGGGCUGUUCGCCCAUUAAAGCGGUACGCGAGCUGGGUUCAGAACGUCGUGAGACAGUUCGGUCCCUAUCCGGCGCGGGCGUAGGAUAUCUGAGAGGAGCUGUCCUUAGUACGAGAGGACCGGGAUGGACGGACCGCUGGUGUAUCUGCUGCGUUGUCAAACGCAAGAGGCAGGGUAGCCAUGUCCGGCAGGGAUAAACGCUGAAGGCAUCUAAGCGUGAAGCCCCCCUCAAGAUGAGAUAUCCCGCCCUACGGGGCAUAAGAUCCCUUGAAGAGUACAAGGUAGAUAGGCGGAAGGUGUAAGUGUGGUAACACACUCAGCUGAUCCGUACUAAUAGAUCGAAGGCUUGUCCUUAU